AUAAGCACCUUGGUUUACUCAACUGGUGUCAUGCCAUUGCCAAGAAUUGGCAUAAUAAUGCUUUGUAGACUUCUCAUUCCUGGAGUUGUAUAGUGUAGGGGACAUUAUCUCAGUUUUCCAUCACACUGUUCAGUUGUUUGCGAAUAGCAUUCACCUUUACAUGUUUUCUGUCACAAAGCAAAUGCUCACUUACUGAUUAGAGCAUGAAACAAUUGAUUUUUCUGUCCAUUUUAGGUUUUUCCAAUGUUUUAAUGCACAUGCUCAUGGGAUCCAUUUAGGAUUGAAUUAGAUGACAUAAUACUGGCAGCAUGAUUCAAGGUAAUAGCAGAUUGUUUAUGUUGAAAUUCUGGGCUCUCUUUUCUCCCUAAUUGCGUGUUAAGAGGAUCAUGUCUUCUUUGCAUGAAUGUCGGUACAUUAUCACUAUUUCCAUUGAUAGAUAGUAGUUUUAUGGAGCAACUUCGUGACAUUAAAUGGAUUUAAAUUUACUAGGGGUGAUUGUUACUUCGGCUGCCUCAGAUCGUGCUUGAAUUCCAACCCACACCAAGGCUAUAAGCAUCAGUACCAGUGGGUGUACUGG
rnacentral:lncRNA from 1 species